rnacentral:rRNA from 1 species
UGGCGGACGGGUGGAGUAAUGUCUGGGAAACUGCCUGAUGGAGGGGGAUAACUACUGGAAACGGUAGCUAAUACCGCAUAACGUCGCAAGACCAAAGAGGGGGACCUUAGGGCCUCUUGCCAUCGGAUGUGCCCAGAUGGGAUUAGCUUGUUGGUGGGGUAACGGCUCACCAAGGCGACGAUCCCUAGCUGGUCUGAGAGGAUGACCAGCCACACUGGGACUGAGACACGGUCCAG